GAUGAACGCUGGCGGCGUGCUUAACACAUGCAAGUCGAACGGAAAGGCCGAAGCUUGCUUCGGUACUCGAGUGGCGAACGGGUGAGUAACACGUGGGUGAUCUGCCCUGUACUUCGGGAUAAGCUUGGGAAACUGGGUCUAAUACCGGAUAUGACGAUCUCUUGGAUGGGGUUGUGGAAAGCCUUUGCGGUAUGGGAUGAGCUCGCGGCCUAUCAGCUUGUUGGUGGGGUAAUGGCCUACCAAGGCGUCGACGGGGAGCCGGCCUGAGAGGGUGUACGGCCACAUUGGGACUGAGAUACGGCCCAGACUCCUACGGGAGGCAGCAGUGGGGAAUAUUGCACAAUGGGCGCAAGCCUGAUGCAGCGACGCCGCGUGGGGGAUGACGGCCUUCGGGUUGUAAACUCCUUUCGCAAUCGACGAAGCCUUUUGGUGACGGUAGGUUGAGAAGAAGCACCGGCUAACUACGUG
rnacentral:rRNA from 1 species